CAAGAUAUAGCUUAAUCAAAGCACCUAGUUUACACCUAGAAGAUUUCACAGAUUAUGAAUAUCUUGA
rnacentral:tRNA from 1 species